rnacentral:rRNA from 1 species
AUUGAACGCUGGCGGCAUGCCUUACACAUGCAAGUCGAACGGCAGCACGGGAGCAAUCCUGGUGGCGAGUGGCGAACGGGUGAGUAGUACAUCGGAACGUGCCUAGUAGUGGGGGAUAGCCCGGCGAAAGCCGGAUUAAUACCGCAUACGACCUGAGGGUGAAAGCGGGGGAUCGCAAGACCUCGCGCUAUCAGAGCGGCCGAUGCCAGAUUAGGUAGUUGGUGGGGUAAAAGCCUACCAAGCCGACGAUCUGUAGCUGGUCUGAGAGGACGACCAGCCACACUGGGAGUGAGACACGGCCCAGACACCGACGGGAGGCAGCAGUGGGGAAUUUUGGACAAGGGGCGCGAGCCUGAUCCAGCCAUGCCGCGUGAAGGAAGAAGGCCUUCGGGUUGUAAACGGCUUUUGUCAGGGAAGAAAAGUUCUGGGCUAAUACCCCGGAGCGAUGACGGUACCUGAAGAAUAAGCACCGGCUAACUACGUGCCAGCCGCCGCCGUAA